rnacentral:rRNA from 1 species
GUGGGGAAUAUUGGACAAUGGGCGAAAGCCUGAUCCAGCCAUGCCGCGUGUGUGAAGAAGGUCUUCGGAUUGUAAAGCACUUUAAGUUGGGAGGAAGGGCAGUAAGUUAAUACCUUGCUGUUUUGACGUUACCGACAGAAUAAGCACCGGCUAACUUCGUGCCAGCAGCCGCGGUAAUACGAAGGGUGCAAGCGUUAAUCGGAAUUACUGGGCGUAAAGCGCGCGUAGGUGGUUUUGUAAGUUGGAGGUGAAAUCCCCGGGCUCAACCUGGGAACUGCCUCCAAAACUGCAUGACUAGAGUACGGUAGAGGGUAGUGGAAUUUCCUGUGUAGCGGUGAAAUGCGUAGAUAUAGGAAGGAACACCAGUGGCGAAGGCGACUCUCUGGCCAUUGACUGACGCUGAGAUGCGAAAGCGUGGGGAGCAAACAGGAUUAGAUACCCCGGUAGUCC